rnacentral:rRNA from 1 species
UACAGAGGGCUCAAGCGUUGUUCGGAUUCAUUGGGCGUAAAGGGCGCGUAGGCGGUGGGGUAAGUCUGGUGUGAAAUCUCGGAGCUCAACUUCGAAAUUGCACUGGAUACUGCUCUGCUAGAGGGCUGGAGAGGAGAUCGGAAUUCACGGUGUAGCAGUGAAAUGCGUAGAUAUCGUGAGGAAGACCAGUGGCGAAGGCGGAUCUCUGGACAGCUCCUGACGCUGAGGCGCGAAGGCUAGGGGAGCAAACGGG